CCAAUAGCGUAUAUUAAAGUUGUUGCAGUUAAAAAGCUCGUAGUUGAAUUUCGGGAUCAGUACGCUGGUCGUGCCUUUGGUAUGCACUGGUGUCACUGGUUCCUCCCUUCUGACGAACCGUCAUGCCAUUUACUUGGUGUGGCGGGAAAUCAGGACUGUUACUUUGAAAAAAUUAGAGUGUUUAAAGCAGGCUCACGCUUGAAUACAUUAGCAUGGAAUAGUGAAAUAGGACGUUGAUCUUAUUUUGUUGGUUUCUAGGAUUGACGUAAUGAUUAAUAGGGAUAGUUGGGGGCAUUAGUAUUCAAUUGUCAGAGGUGAAAUUCUUGGAUUUAUUGAAGACUAACUACUGCGAAAGCAUUUGCCAAGGAUGUUUUCAUUAAUCAAGAACGAAAGUUAGGGGAUCGAAGACGAUCAGAUACCGUCGUAGUCUUAACCAUAAACUAUGCCGACUAGGGAUCGGAUGAUGUUAAUUUUUUAAUGACUCAUUCGGCGCCUUACG
rnacentral:rRNA from 1 species